rnacentral:rRNA from 1 species
UGGGGAAUAUUGCACAAUGGGCGCAAGCCUGAUGCAGCCAUGCCGCGUGUGUGAAGAAGGCCUUCGGGUUGUAAAGCACUUUCAGCGUGGAGGAAGGUGGUGAACUUAAUACGUUCAUCAAUUGACGUUACUCGCAGAAGAAGCACCGGCUAACUCCGUGCCAGCAGCCGCGGUAAUACGGAGGGUGCAAGCGUUAAUCGGAAUUACUGGGCGUAAAGCGCACGCAGGCGGUUUGUUAAGUCAGAUGUGAAAUCCCCGGGCUCAACCUGGGAACUGCAUUUGAAACUGGCAAGCUAGAGUCUCGUAGAGGGGGGUAGAAUUCCAGGUGUAGCGGUGAAAUGCGUAGAGAUCUGGAGGAAUACCGGUGGCGAAGGCGGCCCCCCUGGACGAAGACUGACGCUCAGGUGCGAAAGCGUGGGGCAGCAAACAGGAUUAGAUACCCUGGUAGUCCACGCUGUAAACGAUGUCGAUUUGGAGGUUGUGCCCCUUGAGGCGUGGNUUCCGGAGCUAACGCGUUAAAUCGACCGCC